rnacentral:rRNA from 1 species
AUACGGAGGAUGCGAGCGUUAUCCGGAUUUAUUGGGUUUAAAGGGUGCGUAGGCUGUGCGUUAAGUCAGGGGUGAAAUGCCGUCGCUCAACGACGGAGCUGCCCUUGAUACUGGCGUGCUGGAGUACGGAUGCCGUUGGAGGAAUGAGUGGUGUAGCGGUGCAAUGCUUAGAUAUCACUCAGAACACCGAUUGCGAAGGCAUCUGACGAAUCCGUCACUGACGCUGAGGCACGAAAGCGUGGGGAUAGAACAGGAUUAGAUACCCUGGUAUUCCACGCCGUAAACGAUGAUGACUAACCGUCGGCGAUAGACAGCCGGUGGCCAAGCGAAAGCGAUAAGUCAUCCACCUGGGGAGUACGUCGGCAACGAUGAAACUCAAAGGAAUUGACGGGG